rnacentral:rRNA from 1 species
UCAAUGAAAUCGAGUAGGACGGAGCACGAGAAACUUUGUCUGAAUAUGGGGGGACCAUCCUCCAAGGCUAAAUACUACUGACUGACCGAUAGUGAACCAGUACCGUGAGGGAAAGGCGAAAAGAACCCCGGAGAGGGGAGUGAAAUAGAACCUGAAACCGUAUGCGUACAAGCAGUGGGAGCCUACUUUGUUAGGUGACUGCGUACCUUUUGUAUAAUGGGUCAGCGACUUAUAUUCAGUGGCGAGCUUAACCGAAUAGGGGAGGCGUAGCGAAAGCGAGUCUUAAUAGGGCGUUUAGUCGCUGGGUAUAGACCCGAAACCGGGCGAUCUAUCCAUGGGCAGGUUGAAGGUUAGGUAACACUGACUGGAGGACCGAACCGACUACCGUUGAAAAGUUAGCGGAUGACCUGUGGAUCGGAGUGAAAGGCUAAUCAAGCUCGGAGAUAGCUGGUUCUCCUCGAAAGCUAUUUAGGUAGCGCCUCAUGUAUCACUGUAGGGGGUAGAGCACUGUUUCGGCUAGGGGGUCAUCCCGACUUACCAAACCGAUGCAAACUCCGAAUACCUACAAGUGCCGAGCAUGGGAGACACACGGCGGGUGCUAACGUCCGUCGUGAAAAGGGAAACAACCCAGACCGUCAGCUAAGGUCCCAAAGUCAUGGUUAAGUGGGAAACGAUGUGGGAAGGCUUAGACAGCUAGGAGGUUGGCUUAGAAGCAGCCACCCUUUAAAGAAAGCGUAAUAGCUCACUAGUCGAGUCGGCCUGCGCGGAAGAUGUAACGGGGCUCAAACCAUGCACCGAAGCUACGGGUAUCACCUUUUGGUGAUGCGGUAGAGGAGCGUUCUGUAAGCCUGUGAAGGUGAGUUGAGAAGCUUGCUGGAGGUAUCAGAAGUGCGAAUGCUGACAUGAGUAACGACAAUGCGAGUGAAAAACUCGCACGCCGAAAGACCAAGGUUUCCUGCGCAACGUUAAUCGACGCAGGGUUAGUCGGUCCCUAAGGCGAGGCUGAAAAGCGUAGUCGAUGGAAAACAGGUUAAUAUUCCUGUACUUCCAGUUAUUGCGAUGGAGGGACGGAGAAGGUUAGGCCAGCCUGGCGUUGGUUGUCCAGGUUUAAGGUGGUAGGCUGAAAUCUUAGGCAAAUCCGGGAUUUCAAGGCCGAGAGCUGAUGACGAGUUGCCUUUAGGCGACGAAGUGGUUGAUACCAUGCUUCCAAGAAAAGCUCCUAAGCUUCAGAUAACUGGGAACCGUACCCCAAACCGACACAGGUGGUUAGGUAGAGAAUACCAAGGCGCUUGAGAGAACUCGGGUGAAGGAACUAGGCAAAAUGGCACCGUAACUUCGGGAGAAGGUGCGCCGGCGAGGGUGAAGGACUUGCUCCGUAAGC